UACGAAGGGGGCUAGCGUUGCUCGGAAUCACUGGGCGUAAAGGGUGCGUAGGCGGGUCUUAAGUCAGGGGUGAAAUCCUGGAGCUCAACUCCAGAACUGCCUUUGAUACUGCGAGUCUUGAGUCCGAUAGAGGUGGGUGGAAUUCCUAGUGUAGAGGUGAAAUUCGUAGAUAUUAGGAAGAACACCAGUGGCGAAGGCGGCCCACUGGAUCGGUACUGACGCUGAGGUGCGAAAGCGUGGGGAGCAAACAGG
rnacentral:rRNA from 1 species